AUUAUACUCACAAUUAGGAGGCUUUAAAAAACAAAUAAAAAUACAGACGAAAAAAAUAAAAGUAGCGUUGACGACUUAAAAAGAAAAAACUAAAAUUGUUUAAUUGGAAGAAAUAAACUGUAAGGCUGUGAAAUGUAGUUACAGCAUAUGGUAGAUUCUUAAAUGAAUGAAAUAAUAUGAUAAGGAUUUAUCGGUGGUUGUGGUUGUGGUUGUAUUUCACA
rnacentral:sRNA from 1 species